UUCCGGUUGAUCCUGCCGGAGGCUACCGCUAUUGGAGUUCGAUUAAGCCAUGCGAGUCGCGAGUCUUAGGGACUCGGCGUACCGCUCAGUAACACGUGGGUAACCUGCCCUAUGCUGGGGGAUAACCUCGGGAAACUGAGAAUAAUACCCCAUAGUUCACCACGCCUGGAACGGUGGGUGGAUGAAAGCCCCGGCGGCAUAGGAUGGGCCUGCGGCGUAUCAGGUUGUAGGGGGUGUAAUGUACCCUCUAGCCAUCUACGCGUACGGGUGUUGGGAGACAUCGCCCGGAGAUGGAUUCUGAGACACGAAUCCAGACCCUACGGGGUGCAGCAGGCGCGAAAACUUGGCAAUGCGAGCAAUCGUGACCAGGGAACUCCAAGUGCAUCGGGUAAGACCGAUGCUUUUCUUGACUCUUCAAAGGUCUUGGAAUAAGGGGUGGGUAAGGACGGUGCCAGCCGCCGCGGUAAUACCGGCGCCUCAAGUGGUAGUCGCUUUUAUUGGGCCUAAAACGUCCGUAGCCGGUUUGGUACAUUCGUGGGUAAAUCAAGGCGCUCAACGUCUUGAAUUCUGCGAGCACGGCCAGACUUGGGACCGGGUGAGGUGUGGGGUACUCUCAGGGUAGGGGUAAAAUCCUGUCAUCCUGAGAGGACCACCUGUUGCGAAGGCGCCACACUAGAACGGAUCCGACGGUCAGGGACGAAGCCUAGGGGCACGAACCGGAUUAGAUACCCGGGUAGUCCUAGGUGUAAACGCUGUGGACUUGAUGUUGGGAGUGCUCCGAGCACCCUCAGUGUCGAAGCGAAGGUGAUAAGUCCACUGCCUGGGGAGUACGGUCGCAAGGCUGAAACUUAAAGGAAUUGGCGGGGGAGCACUGCAACCUGAGGAUUGUGCGGUUUAAUUGGAGUCAACGCCGG
rnacentral:rRNA from 1 species